rnacentral:rRNA from 1 species
GGUGAGUAACACGUGGGCAACCUACCCUAUAGUUUGGGAUAACUCCGGGAAACCGGGGCUAAUACCGAAUAAUCUCUUUUACUUCAUGGUGAAAGACUGAAAGACGGUUUCGGCUGUCGCUAUAGGAUGGGCCCGCGGCGCAUUAGCUAGUUGGUGAGGUAACGGCUCACCAAGGCGACGAUGCGUAGCCGACCUGAGAGGGUGAUCGGCCACACUGGGACUGAGACACGGCCCAGACUCCUACGGGAGGCAGCAGUAGGGAAUCUUCCACAAUGGGCGAAAGCCUGAUGGAGCAACGCCGCGUGAGUGAAGAAGGUUUUCGGAUCGUAAAACUCUGUUGUAAGGGAAGAACAAGUACAGUAGUAACUGGCUGUACCUUGACGGUACCUUAUUAGAAAGCCACGGCUAACUACGUGCCAGCAGCCGCGGUAAUACGUAGGUGGCAAGCGUUGUCCGGAAUUAUUGGGCGUAAAGCGCGCGCAGGCGGUCCUUUAAGUCUGAUGUGAAAGCCCACGGCUCAACCGUGGAGGGUCAUUGG